CUGCGGUGAUGCGUUUCUUAGGACACCUUUGGAUUAAACUGUGAAAAAAAAUAACAAUUUCUGAGCAGC